AGUAAGUUCUGAGAUACACAGAAUUUUGUAAAUUUUUAGUAGCAAAUGUGUUAGGCAGAGUUUAUGCUAGUUAAGGUCUGAUUUUUGAGGAGCAUGUACUACAAUAGUAUACUUUUCAUUUGUGCUAACUCUACACCAGUCUCUUCUUUGCUGUGAUUUUAGCUGAUUUUCUUGGUUUCUGUUGCGUAGUAGUGUAAAUUGCCAUGCCCCUGUGACACAUUAUGACUGAACAACUGGGUGUAGUUGCCAGGUAGACAUCACAUGAGCAAGUGUCAGAAUGAGCAAAGAUGAUAGACCUGAGCAUUCUUGGUGUCAACUUGCUCAAACUACUUAGCAUAGCAACUCUAAUACAAGAGAGCAAGGUGACAGGUAUUGACGGAGCUCUCUGAGCAAGAUUUGAUAGAUAAUGCUAAGCUAUGUUCAAGUAAUGUUGGUGUGAGCAUUAUAUUUGAAAGUGCAGCCAAAGUGCAGCCAGACGAGUACAGAACGAUACUAAGCAGGUAGUCUUAGGCUAGCAGAGAGUGUGGUGUCACUGACUGACUUAAAGUACUGAGUAUUGCCAGAUAAACUUAAUUUAUUAUAUAGUGUACGAGUAGUGUACAAGUGUACUAAGCGGGUAGCAUUGCUACCCGGUACCCGUACCCAUGAAUUGUGGUUGCCCAAGCUAAUGUGAGAGGAAACUGUAAUCUAGUGAUCUCUGCACCACGUUUACCUUUAGCCAAAAACACAACUUCAAGUUUACUCAGUGGUACUGCAUUACCCACUCUUGUUGGACUCUUUGUGUUGACGGCUUCAGAGUUACUAAGAACUUGUGAAUAACUUUUAGUACCUGCACUCAAAUUGAUCCACUCACAUUUAGUUUAGAAGAUAUACACAAAAACGUAAAAAAACAAAAGUUCUACUCUCUUUGGUUGUUGCACUGUUAAACUGUUAACUAGUUUCAGAACCAGAAAAUAAUCAAAUUGAUGGUGAAACUGUUUAGUUCAGACUUUCGAUUCCGAAUCAGUGUUCUUGACAACAUUAUUACAACGUAAAGAGCGAUUUUUUGAUCCGAAAUUUGAUUAUCGCAUUGGUCAACUUGUACGAUCACUCCACAAUCUAAGAACGAGCACCUAAGAACGAGCACCGUCGGAUCUACUCUUCCAUUACCCCCACUUUGCCCCCACUUUACAAGGACUAUAGUGGUGAGCCUUGCUGUGGCCAAAACCGUUGCUGUGUACAGGAUCACCAAGGCAAUUCCACGGCGACUUGUUUCAACCCACUUCACCAAUAGGGGACAAAUUGCUUGGAAUUGGUAUAGAGAAAUCAUAAAUUAAAAUGAAAGUGAGUAUGGAGACUGGGUUUGGUUGCAGGCAAUUACAUCAUUGGAAUAUUCCUGUAUUUAGCUUCACUCUCCCCAAUUAUUAUGGUAUAAGAAGUCUAAGAACAAGAGCUGUGAUUCAUCCAAGAAGCUGGUGGUACAAAAUACAUACACCCUUACUGAUCCGGUGAGUUUACACACACACACCACACACACACGCACACGCACGCACACGCACACACAGGGGGCACACACACACCCACACGCACAAACUCACACACACACACACAUUCACUCACAUGCGCACACCAGGGGGCACACAGGCUGUGUGCCCACACACAACACACGCACGCACACGCACACACACUCACACACACCACACACGCACACACACACACACAUACACGCACACCCAGGGGCGUAGCAACCAUUGUUUCCUGGUUGCCCAGAAACCCCCCCAGGAGCUGCUGAGAAAAUUGGGCAGGGCUCCCCAAUAAUUGAAAUCAAGCAGCCCUGCCCAUCUUUUCAUGCACGUGGCUGCAAAUCAUGUAGAGAUAGCACCGUGAAUCGUUACACUUUGGCUAGCUUUGUCUCAGCUAGCUAGCUAGCUACCUCAAACAAAGAAGACCAAGACUUAAGUUCUAGUAUCAAUCCUGCAUGCUCCAGUAUUCUCAGACUCAGCUCUAAGCACAACUUUAUUCGAUAUUCAGGAAGGACAAGUUUAGAACAAUCUCAGCCACAUGAAACUUCUCGGGUAAAUGUAAUGGUGCUCAGCUAGACUAGCAAUACACAAUUGACACCUGCCUUUUAGAAUGUCUAUUAUGAGGCGUUUGAUGGGCAAAAAAUUGAUAGCUAGUAUUCUCUGAUGAAACUGGUAAAACAGUGACUGAUUCUAUUACAUCGAUCGAUUGAUCUGACAAUCCUUCGAAGUCUAAAUACAAAAGUAUCGGUCAGUAGCCAUACAACUGUAAUUCGACCUUUUCCAUACCAUGUUGCCUCACAUAACUCGAACCUGAAUGGGAGAUUUCACCAUACCUGCAAACCCUGUCACCCGUAUAUUUUAUUUAGAGCACUGCUAAAGCUAGCUAGCUGGCUGGGGGAUAUAUGGAGACCACCAUAGAACAAGCUUUUUUAGAUAUUGCAUCCUUUGUUCGAGUGACUGCAUCAAGGGAGGAAGGAGCGACACCUUCUGUUGCCGAAGCUACAUUGCUUAGGUUGGACGCCUACAUCCACUUUCUAAGCUCGUUUAGAGACUUACUAGGAGGUGGGGAUGUGGAUAUGGCUGAAGAAUUAGUACGUGAUGUGGAUACUCUAACCGAGAAUAUCAGCACAAUAUACGAUCGACGGAAAGAUAUUGAAGCUGGAGUAGACAUCACGUGUCCUAGUAGUGGACUCUUUGCUGAACUGAGACGAAAUGGCAGCCGAGGGAGCCCAAAGUAUAUAAUAAGCCGUGAACAGCUUCUGUUCUUGCAUGAAUUGAGACUAACCUGGACGAAAAUAGCCACAAUGUAUGGUGUAAGCCGUCGCACCAUGUACAACAUAAGGUUAGAAUUAGGACUGACGCAAAUUGAGUGCCCAAGAUUCUCAACAAUAUCAAAUGGAGAACUUGUGUCUAUUGUGUCUGAAAUCAAGUGUGAUUUUCCAGAUAUUGGUCAAACCAUGCUAAAAGGUAUUUUAGAUUCGAGAGGAAUCUAUGUACCAACAACAAGACUACGUGAUUGUUUGUCUGAGGUUGAUCCUGUCAACACUGCUCUACGCUGGACACUACCUAUUAGUAGGAGAGUAUACUCUGUCCACAUGCAAACUCAUUGUGGCACAUCGACAGAAACCACAAAUUAGUGAGAUGGCGAUUUGUUGUUCACGGUUCCAUUGAUGGAUUCUCGAGGUUUAUUGUAUACCUAUGGUGCUCCACUAACAACAAAAGUGACACAGUUUUGGCAUUGUUCCAUAAUGCAGUCCUGGAGUUUGGCCUUCCUGCAAGAUGCAGGAGUGACAAAGGAGGGGAGAACGUUAAGGUUGCGGAGUACAUGCUAUUGCACAGCCGAUGCUCUAAUCCCAUGCUUACCGGCUCAUCAGUUCAUAACCAACGAGUAGAACGACUGUGGAGGGAUGCAUAUCGUUGUGUGCUGUCACUUUAUUAUCAGGUUUUUUAUUACCUUGAGAACACGGAAUUGCUGGAUCCGAUUAAUGACAUCGAUUUGUUUUGCUUACAUUUUGUAUAUGAACAAAGGAUCAAUAAUUCUUUAAAAGCUUUUGUAGAUGGUUGGAACAAUCACGGCUUAUCUUAUCCACAGAAAAUAACAGAACUCCUAUACAGCUAUUUGUCUCAAGUUGUAUACAAACAACAGCUGCACAAAACCAUACUGAUGAUAUUAUACACCCGUUUAUGAAUGAAGUGUUCGCUGAAACUGUCGAAGUUCCAUCAACCUCAUGCCCUCUAUCACCGUCUCAGGAGAGGCACUUAAGGGGCAUCACAUCCUCAGAAUCCAGUGAUUAUGGCAUUGAAAUGUAUAAGAGUGUUCGUGACUUUG